UACGUAGGGCGCAAGCGUUAUCCGGAAUUAUUGGGCGUAAAGAGCUCGUAGGCGGUUUGUCGCGUCUGCCGUGAAAGUCCGGGGCUCAACUCCGGAUCUGCGGUGGGUACGGGCAGACUAGAGUGAUGUAGGGGAGACUGGAAUUCCUGGUGUAGCGGUGGAAUGCGCAGAUAUCAGGAGGAACACCGGUGGCGAAGGCGGGAUCCUGGGCCAGUACUGACGCUGAGGAGCGAAAGCGUGGGGAGCAAACAGGG
rnacentral:rRNA from 1 species